rnacentral:rRNA from 1 species
AGACCCGAAACCCGGUGAUCUAGCCAUGGGCAGGUUGAAGGUUGGGUAACACUAACUGGAGGACCGAACCGACUAAUGUUGAAAAAUUAGCGGAUGACCUGUGGCUGGGGGUGAAAGGCCAAUCAAACCGGGAGAUAGCUGGUUCUCCCCGAAAGCUAUUUAGGUAGCGCCUCGUGAAUUCAUCUCCGGGGGUAGAGCACUGUUUCGGCUAGGGGGCCAUCCCGGCUUACCAACCCGAUGCAAACUGCGAAUACCGGAGAAUGUUAUCACGGGAGACACACGGCGGGUGCUAACGUCCGUCGUGAAGAGGGAAACAACCCAGACCGCCAGCUAAGGUCCCAAAGUCAUGGUUAAGUGGGAAACGAUGUGGGAAGGCCCAGACAGCCAGGAUGUUGGCUUAGAAGCAGCCAUCAUUUAAAGAAAGCGUAAUAGCUCACUGGUCGAGUCGGCCUGCGCGGAAGAUGUAACGGGGCUAAACCAUGCACCGAAGCUGCGGCAGCGACACUCAGGUGUUGUUGGGUAGGGGAGCGUUCUGUAAGCCUGUGAAGGUGGCCUGUGAGGGUUGCUGGAGGUAUCAGAAGUGCGAAUGCUGACAUAAGUAACG